rnacentral:rRNA from 1 species
AUUGAACGCUGGCGGCAGGCCUAACACAUGCAAGUCGAACGGUAACAGGAAGAAGCUUGCUUCUUUGCUGACGAGUGGCGGACGGGUGAGUAAUGCCUAGGAAUCUGCCUGGUAGUGGGGGAUAACGUUCGGAAACGGACGCUAAUACCGCAUACGUCCUACGGGAGAAAGCAGGGGACCUUCGGGCCUUGCGCUAUCAGAUGAGCCUAGGUCGGAUUAGCUAGUUGGUGAGGUAAUGGCUCACCAAGGCGACGAUCCGUAACUGGUCUGAGAGGAUGAUCAGUCACACUGGAACUGAGACACGGUCCAGACUCCUACGGGAGGCAGCAGUGGGGAAUAUUGGACAAUGGGCGAAAGCCUGAUCCAGCCAUGCCGCGUGUGUGAAGAAGGUCUUCGGAUUGUAAAGCACUUUAAGUUGGGAGGAAGGGUUGUAGAUUAAUACUCUGCAAUUUUGACGUUACCGACAGAAUAAGCACCGGCUAACUCUGUGCCAGCAGCCGCGGUAAUACAGAGGGUGCAAGCGUUAAUCGGAAUUACUGGGCGUAAAGCGCGCGUAGGUGGUUUGUUAAGUUGGAUGUGAAAUCCCCGGGCUCAACCUGGGAACUGCAUUCAAAACUGACUGACUAGAGUAUGGUAGAGGGUGGUGGAAUUUCCUGUGUAGCGGUGAAAUGCGUAGAUAUAGGAAGGAACACCAGUGGCGAAGGCGACCACCUGGACUAAUACUGACACUGAGGUGCGAAAGCGUGGGGAGCAAACAGG